CAGCAGCCGCGGUAAUACGAAGGGUGCAAGCGUUAAUCGGAAUUACUGGGCGUAAAGCGUGCGUAGGCGGUGAGUUAAGUCUGCUGUGAAAUCCCCGGGCUCAACCUGGGAAUGGCAGUGGAUACUGGCUCGCUAGAGUGUGUCAGAGGAUGGUGGAAUUCCCGGUGUAGCGGUGAAAUGCGUAGAGAUCGGGAGGAACAUCAGUGGCGAAGGCGGCCAUCUGGGACAACACUGACGCUGAGGCACGAAAGCGUGGGGAGCAAACAGGAUUAGAUACCCCGGUAGUCCCUGUCUCUUAUAA
rnacentral:rRNA from 1 species